GACGAACGCUGGCGGCGUGCCUAAUACAUGCAAGUCGAGCGAAGUUUUUCUGGUGCUUGCACUAGAAAAACUUAGCGGCGAACGGGUGAGUAACACGUAAAGAACCUGCCUCAUAGACUGGGACAACUAUUGGAAACGAUAGCUAAUACCGGAUAACAGUAUUUCUCGCAUGAGAGAUAUUUAAAAGUUGGUUAUGCUAACACUAUGAGAUGGCUUUGCGGUGCAUCAGCUAGUUGGUGGGGUAAAGGCCUACCAAGGCGACGAUGCAUAGCCGACCUGAGAGGGUGAUCGGCCACACUGGGACUGAGACACGGCCCAGACUCCUACGGGAGGCAGCAGUAGGGAAUCUUCCGCAAUGGGCGAAAGCCUGACGGAGCAACGCCGCGUGAGUGAAGAAGGAUUUCGGUUCGUAAAGCUCUGUUGUUAGGGAAGAAUGGAUAUGUAGUAACUAUACAUAUAAGAGACGGUACCUAACCAGAAAGCCACGGCUAACUACGUGCCAGCAGCCGCGGUAAUACGUAGGUGGCAAGCGUUGUCCGGAAUUAUUGGGCGUAAAGCGCGCGCAGGUGGUUUAAUAAGUCUGAUGUGAAAGCCCACGGCUCAACCGUGGAGGGUCAUUGGAAACUGUUAAACUUGAGUGCAGGAGAGAAAAGUGGAAUUCCUAGUGUAGCGGUGAAAUGCGUAGAGAUUAGGAGGAACACCAGUGGCGAAGGCGGCUUUUUGGCCUGUAACUGACACUGAGGCGCGAAAGCGUGGGGAGCAAACAGG
rnacentral:rRNA from 1 species